UGAAUACGAGACGCUAAGGCGUCGAAGUAGUGUAUGUCAUACUUCCAAGAAAAGCUUGCACUGUCAUAGAUAAAAAACGCCUGUACCAUAACCGACACAGGUGGGUAGGUAGAGUAUACUAAGGGGCGCGAGAUAACUCUCUCUAAGGAACUCGGCAAAAUAACUCUGUAACUUCGGGAGAAGGAGUGCCUUAUUCGUAAGGUUGCAAUAACAAGAUCCAAGCAACUGUUUAUCAAAAACACAGGUCUCCGCUAAGUCGUAAGACGAUGUAUGGGGGCUGACGCCUGCCCAGUGCCAGAAGGUUAAAGAAGUUGGUUAGCAAUUGCGAAGCUGAUAACUGAAGCCCUGGUGAACGGCGGCCGUAACGAUAACGGUCCUAAGGUAGCGAAAUUCCUUGUCGGGUAAGUUCCGACCCGCACGAAAGGCGUAAUGAUUUGGAUACUGUCUCGGAGAGGGGCUCGGUGAAAUAGACUUGUCUGUGAAGAUGCGGACUACCUGCACCAGGACAGAAAGGCCCUAUGAAGCUUUACUGUAACUUGAAAUUGAAAUUGGACUUUAUUCGCGCAGCAUAGGUGGGAGGCGUUGAUUAUAAUCUUGCGGGAUUAUUGGAGCCAUCAGUGAGAUACCACUCUUGUAAUGUUAGAUUUCUAACUUUGAAUCAUUAUCUGGUCAAAGAACAGUUUCAGGCGGGCAGUUUGACUGGGGCGGUCGCCUCCUAAACGGUAACGGAGGCGUACAAAGGUUUCCUCUGAACGGUUAGAAAUCGUAUCUAGAGUGUAAAGGCAUAAGGAAGCUUGACUGUGAGACCUACAAGUCGAGCAGGGACGAAAGUCGGUCUUAGUGAUCUGACGGUACUGAGUGGAAAGGCCGUCACUCAACGGAUAAAAGUUACUCUAGGAUAACAGGCUGAUCUCCCCCAAGAGUUCACAUCGACGGGGAGGUUUGGCACCUCGAUGUCGGCUCAUCGCAUCCUGGGGCGGUAGUACGUCCCAAGGGUUGGGCUGUUCGCCCAUGAAAGCGGUACGCGAGCUGGGUUCAGAACGUCGUGAGACAGUUCGGUCCAUAUCCGGUGUAGGCGUUAGAAUAUUGAGAGGAGCCUUCUUAGUACGAGAGGACCGAGAAGGACAUACCUCUGGUGUACCAGUUAUCGUGCCAACGGUAAACGCUGGGUAGCUAUGUAUGGAGUGGAUAACCGCUGAAAGCAUCUAAGUGGGAAGCCCACCUCAAGAUAAGUAUUCUCAU
rnacentral:rRNA from 1 species